AUUGAACGCUGGCGGCAGGCUUAACACAUGCAAGUCGAGCGGAGAUGAGGUGCUUGCACCUUAUCUUAGCGGCGGACGGGUGAGUAAUGCUUAGGAAUCUGCCUAUUAGUGGGGGACAACAUUCCGAAAGGAAUGCUAAUACCGCAUACGUCCUACGGGAGAAAGCAGGGGAUCUUCGGACCUUGCGCUAAUAGAUGAGCCUAAGUCGGAUUAGCUAGUUGGUGGGGUAAAGGCCUACCAAGGCGACGAUCUGUAGCGGGUCUGAGAGGAUGGUGCGCCACACUGGGACUGAGACACGGCCCAGACUCCUACGGGAGGCAGCAGUGGGGAAUAUUGGAAAAUGGGGGGAACCCUGAUCCAGCCAUGCCGCGUGUGUGAAGAAGGCCUUAUGGUUGUAAAGCACUUUAAGCGAGGAGGAGGCUACUCUAGUUAAUACCUAGGGAUAGUGGACGUUACUCGCAGAAUAAGCACCGGCUAACUCUGUGCCAGCCGCCGCCGUAA
rnacentral:rRNA from 1 species